UAUUUUACAAGUGAGAACAAUCGUUCCUCUGACCACUUUUGAUUUAUUCCAUCUCUGGUUUCCAUGGAGCGUCAUAAAAGGAUCUAUGUGUGCGUCAAGAGAGUGGAGAAAGAGAAGUGGCCCGGAGCUAACAGGGGAAGAAGCAUCCGCCUGCUCAAUAGCAGCUCUGAGGCAGAGAUGGAAGAUUGUGGAUCUGCUGGGACGAGGUUAUCUCAGAAGCCAAACCAGAAAGAAUAUCCCAACCCAGGACUCCACUAUGCGAUAAUGGAGGGAACAGAGACCUUAAAGUCAGGCAGUUUGGGGUUCAUGUCCUCGCUUUGCCACUUCUUUCCUGUGUAGCCUCAGCUGCCCUUAAAUUUGCAAGGAAACAUUCCUUCUAGGAGUCUCUGGAUAUUGGACUAAGAUUGUCACACGCCAUUAACACAGUUCAAUUCUGCAACCUCACUGAUUGGAAAACCUGAUUCAAUAUUGCAAGCUUGUUUUUGGCAACUGCACCAGCAUCUUCCAAAAAUAUAUUAGAGUUGCCACUGCCAGAUGGUCUGAGAUGGGCCCAGGGAGGCUGUUGACAGAUAUCUUGAGAUGGAUCUUAUUCCAUUGACAUAUCUGAAGACUGUCCCGUGGGAAACGUCUUCACGGGCCUGGAGGCUGACAGAACAAGACGGAAACCCUUCAAGAGAAUUGCCAAUAAAGAGACUGAAAAUGGGCACUACCUUCUGGAGGUAAUUUGGCAAUAGGUAUUGAGCCUUAAAACAUUCAUACCCUUUGGGCUUCCCUGGUGGUGCAGUGGUUAAGAAUCCGCCUGCCCAUGUGGGGGACACGGGUUUGAUCCCUGGUCUGGGAAGAUCCCACAUGCCGCGGAGCAACUAAGCCCGUGCGCCACAGCUACUGAGCCUGCGCUCUAGAGCCCGUGAGCCACAGCUGCUGAAGCCCGCACGCCCAGAGCCCGUGCUCCGCAACGCGGGAGGCCACUGCAGUGGGAGGCCCGCGCACCGCAACAAAGAGUAGCCCCCGCUCAACACAGCUGGAGAAGAGCCCACACGCAGCAACAAAGACCCAACGCAGCCAAAAAUAAAUAAAUAAAUAAAUUUAUUUUAAAAAAAAUUCAUACCCUUUGACCCUG